CAGUCGCCGCGGUAAUACAGAGGGUGCGAGCGUUAAUCGGAUUUACUGGGCGUAAAGCGUGCGUAGGCGGCUUUUUAAGUCGGAUGUGAAAUCCCUGAGCUUAACUUAGGAAUUGCAUUCGAUACUGGGAAGCUAGAGUAUGGGAGAGGAUGGUAGAAUUCCAGGUGUAGCGGUGAAAUGCGUAGAGAUCUGGAGGAAUACCGAUGGCGAAGGCAGCUAUCUGGCCUAAUACUGACGCUGAGGUACGAAAGCAUGGGGAGCGAACAGGAUUAGAUACCCCCGUAGUCCCUGUCUCUUAUAC
rnacentral:rRNA from 1 species